rnacentral:rRNA from 1 species
UACGUAGGGACCAAGCGUUGUUCGGAUUUACUGGGCGUAAAGGGCGCGUAGGCGGCGUGUUAAGUCAGCUGUGAAAUCUCCGAGCUUAACUCGGAACGGUCAGCUGAUACUGAUGUGCUAGAGUGCAGAAGGGGCAAUCGGAAUUCUUGGUGUAGCGGUGAAAUGCGCAGAUAUCAGGAGGAACACCGGUGGCGAAGGCGGGUCUCUGGGCCGAUACUGACGCUGAGGAGCGAAAGCGUGGGGAGCGAACAGG